rnacentral:lncRNA from 1 species
CAGACAGGAUCUUAGCAUCUGAAUUUUACCUUGGGCUUAGGUUCUGAACUUAAGACAGCAGAUGUGGGGUGAAGAUCACCAAACUGUUCAAAUAUAAGCAAAGCAUUAUCCCACAUAUUUUACAAGGAUGCUCAUUGCUUUAAGAUAUGGUACAUAUUGGGAAAUGAUCAUGAGGUAAAAACUAAAAAAGUCAAUAAAAUUCAUAUUUUCAGGCAAGUAUUGACCUGACCUCUUCUUCAGAAUCAAGCUUCACCUCACAAGUGCUUCUGUCUAGAGUGAGAUAUAAAUCUUCUUGGUUGAAAGAGUCAUAAUGAGGCACCUUCCAGGCUAAAGUUUUAAC